GCACUGGAUGGGGGUUACGCCGUUGUGACCCAGAGCCAUUAGCUGAAGGAGAGCGAUGUCAGGCAAAUGGACAGUGU
rnacentral:ncRNA from 20 species